GGAGGGUGUAGCUCAGUGGUAGGGUGUGUGCUUAGCAUGCACAAGGUCCUGGGUUCAAUCCCCAGUACCUCCA
rnacentral:tRNA from 1 species